UUCAGGAGGCGGAGGAGGUCUUCAGGAGGAGGAGGAGGAGGAGGAGGAGGAGGAGGAGGAGGAGGUCUUCAGUAGGAGGUCUUCAGGAGGAGGAGGAGGAGGUCUUCAGGAGGAGGUCUUCAGGAGGAGGAGGAGGUCUUCAGGAGGAGGAGGAGGAGGACUGGCGUGCGGGCCGGCCCAUGGAGGAGGCGCUGUAGGUGCGUGAGCGCUGCCUCAUGGCGGGGCGGCAGGGCAGCUCCAGGUCCUGGAAGAGGGGGGUCUCCGUGAUG